rnacentral:tRNA from 1 species
GGAUGAGUAGCCUAGUGGCGAGGGCAGCAGACUGUAAAUCUGUGACAAGGAACAUCGUUGGUUCGAGUCCAACCUCAUCCA